GGGCUUGAAUGGAAUUGACAGCGAGCAGAAAUGGUGGGUAAGCAUGCAGUGCAUCGGUGAUUGGCACUUAAAUCUCAGUUAUCAAAAUUUUAUCUGGCGAAACUAAUUACGCUCUUGCUGCUUAAUCGAAUCAUAGUAGAUUGGCUUAAUCCUGGCACUAGGUGCUAAGACGAGACAUCACUCGGAAGCUGUGGCUUCGAAGCGUUCCGAUUUAGUGGUGCAGUUACAUCGGAGAUAGUUUGUACUUGCCUUGAAGUGCAGAUGAAAAAUUAAAGGAUAAGGCAAUGGUUGAUGGCUUUGGUUCUGCCGUUGCUCGAAAACUUAGGCAAAGAUAAGCAUGUAGAAAGCUUAUGAUUUCCUCGUUUGGACGGGAGUUCGAUCCUCCCCAGGUCCACAU
rnacentral:tmRNA from 1 species